CAACUUUAAGCAAUGGAUCACUUGGUUCUCGCAUCGAUGAAGAGCGUAGCAAAUUGCGAAAAGUAAUGCGAUCUGCAGCCUUUGCGAAUCAUCGAAUUCUCGAACGCAUCUU
rnacentral:rRNA from 1 species